rnacentral:lncRNA from 1 species
GUAAGGAGCCAGGACUGGAGCGGUUACAGAACGACUGCUGCACUGCUACUGAUUUUUCAAUUUUGGAGGCAUUUAAAGGUGUAGUCAUCAUGGAGUUUGGGUUGAGAAUCGCUUUCUUUCUGCUUCUGGUGAUUGGAACUGGAACAGUAAAAGGAUUUAGUGUGUUGGAUGCUAUUCGUGGCAGCGGUGAGUGACUUCAGUGGAUAUUAACAUUUGAUAAUAUUUCUGUUAAAAUUUAAGGCUGUGUAAGCUGCUGGGAUGCUAAUGCUAAUAAAACUAUAUUUUAGACAAAAAAACAACAGAUUUGUGUUUAUCUAUGACUCAACUAAAAAGAAAAUAAUACAAAAAUAAAAUGUAUAUGAAUAAUAACAGAGCCAGUGAUGGAACAGGUACCAUCACUUUACCUAAGUAAAAGUACCAAUAAAAAAAACAUUCAAAAUCCUACUUAAGUUGAAGCACAAAAGCAAAAACCGACAUUAAUCUUUACUACUUUCCUGCAAGAGAAUGAACAGUGUUCAAAUGUCAAACUAUUCUUUUAAUGCACAAUGACUAAAAAAGCUAGGCAAGUGAGAUUUUUUAGGAGGCUCCUCUGGGAGACCCAAGUCCAUUGGAGGAGAUCCCAAACCUUCCAAACCUGCUGGAGGAAAUGACUCUGGAUUAAAUCUGGAGGAUGCUCUCCGUCCAGCUGCAAAUCCGACUGAUAAUAAACCCAGUGGAGGAGACAACCAGGGAAACGUGAUCCAAAAACUGGACUCGAUCAUUGAGAACCAAAAUGAGGUGCUCCGCCUGCUGCGGCAGUUGACUGCUCGGCCCCAGUCUCGCUUCCUCUAAAAGGCCCGUGUUGAGAUGAUUAUGGAGAUACAAGAAGAGAUUUGUAAGUAGGGGAUGAUUUUGCCCAACACAAUAGUUUCCUUAUAAAAAAGAAAAACUAAUUUGAAAUUUGCUUGUGUUUUUAGAGCUGGAGAAGACGAGC